rnacentral:ribozyme from 1 species
CGCCAAGAAACUCCUAUCCUUACCUCCUCAUGGAACAGGCCGGGGUACGAGUAACCUUAGGGAAGAUCUGGUAACCAACCCCGGUGAGAACUUUGGUCGUAUGCUGACAGGGAAGG